GACGAACGCUGGCGGCGUGCCUAAUACAUGCAAGUAGAACGCUGAAGGAGGAGCUUGCUUCUCUGGAUGAGUUGCGAACGGGUGAGUAACGCGUAGGUAACCUGCCUGGUAGCGGGGGAUAACUAUUGGAAACGAUAGCUAAUACCGCAUAAUAGCAGUUAUUGCAUGAUAACUGUUUGAAAGGUGCAAUUGCACCACUACCAGAUGGACCUGCGUUGUAUUAGCUAGUUGGUGGGGUAACGGCUCACCAAGGCGACGAUACAUAGCCGACCUGAGAGGGUGAUCGGCCACACUGGGACUGAGACACGGCCCAGACUCCUACGGGAGGCAGCAGUAGGGAAUCUUCGGCAAUGGACGGAAGUCUGACCGAGCAACGCCGCGUGAGUGAAGAAGGUUUUCGGAUCGUAAAGCUCUGUUGUAAGAGAAGAACGAGUGUGAGAGUGGAAAGUUCACACUGUGACGGUAUCUUACCAGAAAGGGACGGCUAACUACGUGCCAGCAGCCGCGGUAAUACGUAGGUCCCGAGCGUUGUCCGGAUUUAUUGGGCGUAAAGCGAGCGCAGGCGGUUAGAUAAGUCUGAAGUUAAAGGCUGUGGCUUAACCAUAGUACGCUUUGGAAACUGUUUAACUUGAGUGCAAGAGGGGAGAGUGGAAUUCCAUGUGUAGCGGUGAAAUGCGUAGAUAUAUGGAGGAACACCGGUGGCGAAAGCGGCUCUCUGGCUUGUAACUGACGCUGAGGCUCGAAAGCGUGGGGAGCAACAGG
rnacentral:rRNA from 1 species